rnacentral:rRNA from 1 species
AGUGGCGUACGGGUGAGUAACACGUGACUAACCUUCCUUCGAGUGGGGAAUAACCUCGGGAAACCAGGGCUAAUACCGCAUAACAUCCUAGGGUGAAACUCCCUUGGAUCAAAGGGGUAAGACGCUUGAAGAGGGGGUCGCGGCUGAUUAGUUAGUUGGCGGGGUAACGGCCCACCAAGACGAUGAUCAGUAUCCGGCCUGAGAGGGCGCACGGACACACUGGAACUGAAACACGGUCCAGACUCCUACGGGAGGCAGCAGUGGGGAAUUUUGCGCAAUGGGGGAAACCCUGACGCAGCAACGCCGCGUGGAGGAUGAAGUCCCUUGGGAUGUAAACUCCUUUCGACUGGGAAGAAACUGACGGUACCAGUGGAAGAAGCCCCGGCUAACUUCGUGCCAGCAGCCGCGGUAAUACGAGGGGGGCAAGCGUUGUUCGGAAUUAUUGGGCGUAAAGGGUGCGUAGGCUGUGCGGUAAGUCACCUGUGAAAACUCUGGGCUCAACCCAGAGCCUGCAGGCGA